rnacentral:rRNA from 1 species
UACGUAGGGCGCAAGCGUUGUCCGGAAUUAUUGGGCGUAAAGAGCUCGUAGGCGGCCAGUUGCGUCCGCUGUGAAAUCCCGGGGCUUAACCCCGGGCGUGCAGUGGAUACGGGCUGGCUAGAGGCAGGCAGGGGAGAACGGAAUUCCCGGUGUAGCGGUGAAAUGCGCAGAUAUCGGGAGGAACACCGGUGGCGAAGGCGGGUCUCUGGGCAGUAACUGACGCUGAGGAGCGAAAGCGUGGGGAGCUAACAGG